AUUGAACGCUGGCGAAAUGCUUUACACAUGCAAGUCGAGCGGCAGCGCGGGGCAACCUGGCUGCGAGCGGCGAACGGGUGAGUAAUACAGCGGAACGUACCCAGUUGCGGGGAUAGCCCGGCGAAAGCCGGAUUAAUACCGCAUACGACCCGAGGGUGAAAGCGGGGGCUCGCAAGACCUCGCGCAGUUGGAGCGGCCGAGGGCGGAUUAGCUAGUUGGUAGGGUAAAAGCCUACCAAGCCUGCGAUCGGUAGCUGGUCUGAGAGGACGACCAGCCACACUGGGACUGAGACACGGCCCAGACUCCUACGGGAGGCAGCAGUGGGGAAUUUUGGACAAUGGGGGAAACCCUGAACCAGCAAUGCCGCGUGUGUGAAGAAGGCCUUCGGGUUGUAAAGCACUUUUGGUGGGAACGAAACGGCGCUUGCUAAUACCAGGCGCUAAUGACGGUACCCGCAGAAUAAGCACCGGCUAACUACGUGCCAGCAGCCGCCGUAA
rnacentral:rRNA from 1 species